UAUUUUUGCCAAAAGUUAAACUUCCCACUUCUUUUUCCCGCAUAAAAUCAUUCUGUAUAUAAACCUAAAUUCUGCUGAAAACCCACAAGCUCUAUCAGAGCCUCCAAUCUACCGCCGCGUCUGAGCCUUAGCUAGAGUAGAGAUGAAGGUUGUUGCCGCAUAUUUGCUCACUAUUUUGGGCGGCAACGCCAGCCUCUCCGCCAAGGACUUGAAGACCGUUUUCGCCUCCGCCAUAUUAGUUAUCGUUGGAUCUAUCACUCGGUGAUGGCUGAUCUCCGGGCACUUCCUAGCCAGAAACCAACAUCGGUUUCUGUCCCCGUAUUAUGUACGACCGGUUAAUUUGCUUAAGUCAGAUUUCUUCUUUAAUAAUGAGCGGUUGGUUACAGAAGCAACAUAAACCAGGUCAUUAGACAUACUGUU